CCUACGGGUGGCAGCAGUGGGGAAUAUUGGACAAUGGAGGGAACCCUGAUCCAGCGAAGCAGCGUGAGUGAAGAAGUAUUUAGGUAUGUAAAGCUCUAUCAGCAGGGAAGAAAAUGACGGUACCUGACUAAGAAGCUACGGCUAACUACGUGCCAGCAGCCGCGGUAAUACGUAGGGAGCAAGCGUUAUCCGGAGUUACUGGGUGUAAAGGGAGCGUAGACGGUGCAGCAAGUCUGAUGUGAAAGGUCGGGGCCCAACCCCGGGAUUGCAUUGGAAACUGUUGAACUUGAGUACAGAAGAGGUAAGCGGAAUUCCUAGUGUAGCGGUGAAAUGCUUAGAUAUUAGGAGGAACACCAGUGGCGAAGGCGGCUUACUGGACUGUAACUGACGCUGAGGCUCGAAAGCGUGGGGAGCAAACAGGAUUAGAUACCCUAGUAGUC
rnacentral:rRNA from 1 species